GGACGGGUCGCGGCGGGCGGCAUGGCUGCGAGGUGGGCAGGGGCUACUGACAGCAGCCCCGCGAACGCAGCUGAAACGGAGCCUUUAAGAAGAAGAAACAAACCAUCCUUUUAGAUCAUCAAUUCAAAAUUAUCUCUUCAUAAAAUAUUUGAGAUGGAUGUUGCUCUCCGAUUUGCAAAGCAGCUGUGGAGAUGCCAGCUUGAGUGUGUUCACUAGACAGAUCUUCAGGAGACUUUGGAAAUAAACACUACAUAAAUAUUCAGAAACUAUUUUAUGCUUGAGAAUCACGUAAUAUAAGGAGGGCCUGGUUCGGAAUGUGAAGGUUGGAGGCAACCUU